rnacentral:rRNA from 1 species
GAUGAACGCUGGCGGCGUGCUUAACACAUGCAAGUCGAACGGCAUCCAAGGAGUGCUUGCACUUUUUGGUUAGCGUGGCGCACGGGUGUGUAACACGCGAGUAACCUGUCCUUUUCUUUGGGAUAAGCAUUCGAAAGGUUGUUUAAUACCUUAUUUUCUGUCUGCCUUGCAUGCGGUGGGUCUGAAAGGCUUUGGCCGUAUUUGGGUGGGCUCGCGGUCUAUCAGGUUGUUGGUGUGGUGAUGGCGUACCAAGGCUUUGCCUGGUAGCCGGCGUGAGAGGGUGGUCGGACAGAGAGGGAGUGAGGAACGGUCCAGGAGGCAGCGGGAGGGAGCAGUGGGGGAUAGGGGACAAUGGGCGAAAGCCUGAUGGAGCGACGGCGGGAGGGGGAUGAAGGGUUACGGGUUGUAAACUUGUAAGGCUAUGAACAAGGCAAGCCAGUGGGGGUGUUGAGGGUAGGGGAUGAUAAGCGCCGGCUAACUACGUG